rnacentral:lncRNA from 1 species
AAAUUUUUGUGGAAAUGUGUACAGUCCUGGGGGAGAGCAAGUUCGUCAAGGAUACCUGCCUUGUGUCAUUGUGAUUUUAAGUUUUGAAGAUGCUGAGGACCAGCAGCAGCUCCUGCAAACUUCAUUGGCAGCUGGGAAGAAUCAACAGUGAGAAUUCAUCCUAUGGGAUCACCCAUUUGAAUUUGUGCCAAUCUCUACAGGAACCUGAUGCCAGCAAUUUAAGGAUCUUCACAUUCAGUCUCAGUGGUUCCACUGAAAUCAGUGGGAACCUUUCCAGUGGUUUGAAGGGGACUUGGACUGGAUCCCUGGGGAGUGAAAGAGUCAAGAACUGGAUUGACAGGAGAGGUAGUGGGGAAUACCUUCCAAGCCCAGCUGAAUUGUGCAUCAUUUGUACAGAGCAAUUGAAAUGA